GAUGAACGCUGGCGGCGUGCCUAAUACAUGCAAGUCGAGCGAACAGAUGAGGAGCUUGCUCCUCUGACGUUAGCGGCGGACGGGUGAGUAACACGUGGAUAACCUACCUAUAAGACUGGGAUAACUUCGGGAAACCGGAGCUAAUACCGGAUAAUAUAUUGAACCGCAUGGUUCAAUAGUGAAAUACGGUUUUGCUGUCACUUAUAGAUGGAUCCGCGCCGCAUUAGCUAGUUGGUAAGGUAACGGCUUACCAAGGCAACGAUGCGUAGCCGACCUGAGAGGGUGAUCGGCCACACUGGAACUGCGAAACGGUCCAGACUCCUACGGGAGGCAGCAGUAGGGAAUCUUCCGCAAUGGGCGAAAGCCUGACGGAGCAAGGCAGCGUGAGUGAUGAUGGUCUUCGGAUCGUAAAACUCUGUUAUUAGGGAAGAACAAAUGUGUAAGUACCUAUGCACGUCUUGACGGUACCUAAUAAGAAAGCCACGGCUAACUACGUG
rnacentral:rRNA from 1 species